rnacentral:rRNA from 1 species
AAGCGGUGGAUGAUGUGGUUAAUUCGAUGCAACGCGAAAACCUUACUCACCUUGACAUGUACGGAAGUUGCCAGAGAUGGCUUCGUGCUCGAAAGAGAGCCGUAACACAGGUGCUGCAUGGCUGUCGUCAGCUCGUGUCGUGAGAUGUUGGGUUAAGUCCCGCAACGAGCGCAACCCUUGUCAUUAGUUGCUACGAAAGGGCACUCUAAUGAGACUGCCGGUGACAAACCGGAGGAAGGUGGGGAUGACGUCAAGUCCUCAUGGCCCUUAUAGGUGGGGCUACACACGUCAUACAAUGGCUGGUACAAAGGGUUGCCAACCCGCGAGGGGGAGCCAAUCCCAUAAAGCCAGUCGUAGUCCGGAUCGCAGUCUGCAACUCGACUGCGUGAAGUCGGAAUCGCUAGUAAUCGUGGAUCAGCAUGUCACGGUGAAUACGUUCCCGGGUCUU